CUAAGCAUAUCAAUAAGCGGAGGAAAAGAAACCAACAGGGAUUGCCCUAGUAACGGCGAGUGAAGCGGCAACAGCUCAAAUUUGAAAUCUGGCCCAAGCCCGAGUUGUAAUUUGUAGAGGAUGUUUCUGGCGACGUGCCUUCCGAGUUCCCUGGAACGGGACGCCAUAGAGGGUGAGAGCCCCGUACGGUUGGAUGCCUAGCCUCUGUGAAACUCCUUCGACGAGUCGAGUAGUUUGGGAAUGCUGCUCUAAAUGGGAGGUAAAUGUCUUCUAAAGCUAAAUACCGGCCAGAGACCGAUAGCGCACAAGUAGAGUGAUCGAAAGAUGAAAAGCACUUUGAAAAGAGGGUUAAAAAGUACGUGAAAUUGUUGAAAGGGAAGCGUUUAUGACCAGACUUGAGCAGGUUGAUCAUCCGUGGUUCUCCGCGGUGCACUCUGCCUGCUCAGGCCAGCAUCAGUUCGUUCCGGGGGAUAAAGGCUCUGGGAAUGUGGCUCCCUCGGGAGUGUUAUAGCCCACUGCGUAAUACCCUGGGAUGGACUGAGGUUCGCGCUUCUGCAAGGAUGCUGGCGUAAUGGUCAUCAACGACCCGUCUUGAAACACGGACCAAGGAGUCGUCUUCGUAUGCGAGUGUUCGGGUGUCAAACCCCUACGCGUAAUGAAAGUGAACGUAGGUGAGAGCUUCGGCGCAUCAUCGACCGAUCCUGAUGUUCUCGGAUGGAUUUGAGUAAGAGCAUACGGGGCCGGACCCGAAAGAAGGUGAACUAUGCCUGUAUAGGGUGAAGCCAGAGGAAACUCUGGUGGAGGCUCGCAGCGGUUCUGACGUGCAAAUCGAUCGUCAAAUAUGGGCAUGGGGGCGAAAGACUAAUCGAACC
rnacentral:rRNA from 1 species